UCAAAUUUGUCCUAAUGGGUGGAUUAAAUAUGGAAUCUAUUGUUAUCUAUUUCAAAAUGGAAAUUCCGCUCUAAAUGGAAAAAAUUGGAUAAACUCCCUUUCAUAUUGUUUAAAUAAUGGAGGAAACUUGUUGAGUGUAGCAAAUCAAACAGAAAAUUUAUUUAUUUUAAACUACCUCAAAAAUAACAGCAUAAAUAGCUUUUUCUGGAUUGGUCUCAAUACUCUUCAGAGAUCUUUUGUUUGGUCAGAUAGUACAGCUCCGUUAUUUUUUAAUUGGAGGCCGGGUCAACCUGAUAAUUAUUUAGUGAAAGAGCACUGCGUUGAAAUAAAUUCUUAUGGCUGGAAUGAUGCUGAUUGUGAUAAUCUUGAUGGAUUUAUUUGUAAAGUUAAAAAAGAAGUUUUUGGUUGCCCUAGCAAUCUGUUUGAGUAUGGAGACUAUUGUUACCUAUUUGCUAGUGGAAGUGCAACACAAAAUGGAUUAAGCUGGAAAAUGUCUCUUGUUGUA